UUACGGGAGGCAGCAGUAAGGAAUAUUGGCAAUGGUAGACAUCCCCCCCAGCGACAAAGCGUGGGGGAUGAAGGUCUUCGGAUUGUAAGCCCCUUUUGGGAGGGAAGAUGUAACGGGUAACCGUUCGGACGGUACCUCCAGAAGCAGCCACGGCCAACUUCGUGCCAGCAGCCGCGGUAAUAUGAAGGGGGCAAGCGUUGUUCGGAUUCUCUGGGGGUACAGGGUGUGUAGGCGGUUUGGUAAACCCUCGAUGAAAAAGUCGGGCUCUCCCCGGCAAGAGCAGGGGGGACUCCCAGGGUAGAGGCGGGGAGAGGGGGGAGGAAUUUCCGGGGAGGCGGGGAAAAAUGUAGAGAUAGGGAGAAAGACCGCUGGAGAAGAAGCCGCUACGGAACCUACCAGUGACUGAGACGCGAAAGAGUGGGGAGCACACACGAUUAGAUACCCCGGUAGAGCACACCCUAAAAUAUAUGAGUAAGGUCUGCGGCGACCGCCGGUGCCGCAGCUAACGC
rnacentral:rRNA from 1 species